CUUUGGACAUAGCAUAUGGUAUUUGUCAAAAAUCAUUCGAACGACAAAUUUCUAUUUACUUGUGUAUCGUUAUUAAUUUUUGUUGUAGAAUGAAUUUGACGUCCCAUUACAAGAUUAAAGAUUGCUUUGAGACUUCAAAACGUACAAGCGAUGAAAAGAUUGAAAAGUAUGUCGUGAAAUCCCUUUCAAACCGAGUAAGUACCGCACAUGACCGUCUUCCACGAGUGAAGGCUCACGUUGACGUCAUUCCCGUGGUGAGUAACUAGAUUUCGCCGCCGAAACGAGGACCUUCUCGGACAAUUUGAUCGUGUCCCGAUGACGGGACACGUUCUUCCUACACAGAUAGACCAACGUGUACGAUGAGAUAACAGGUGAUGCGCGCUGGUGAAAAUAACCGACGAAGCUGUUCUUGUCUUCGACGGUAAUCAGGAUGCCCUCGUUUCGAAGUCCUUGAGAUGGAUGGUGUUCGUUUUACGGACACCAACCGUACACUCCGGUUAUUUUAAAUCAUCGCGUAAUCGUCCAUGCAACAAGCGAGAAGCAUCACGGCGAUUUGAUGUCGCGCGAUGAUAACGUGAAAAUGACGUGCUGUUUGUUAUCACGAAACAAGGAUUCCGGUGUGUGAGAAAGGUAAGGAGAAGGAAGUAGAAUUUUGUUAAGGCGAUGAUUAUUUUCUGUCUAGAGAAUCAAACGAUC
rnacentral:misc_RNA from 1 species